AUUGAACGCUGGCGGCAGGCCUAACACAUGCAAGUCGAGCGAGCGGCGGACGGGUGAGUAAUGUCUGGGGAACUGCCUGAUAGAGGGGGAUAACUACUGGAAACGGUGGCUAAUACCGCAUACUAUCGGAUGUGCCCAUAUGGGAUUAGCUAGUAGGUGGGGUAAAGGCUCACCUAGGCGACGAUCCCUAGCUGGUCUGAGAGGAUGACCAGCCACACUGGAACUGAGAAACGGCCCAGACUCCUACGGGAGGCAGCAGUGGGGAAUAUUGCACAAUGGGCGCAAGCCUGAUGCAGCCAUGCCGCGUGUAUGAAGAAGGCCUUAGGGUUGUAAAGUACUUUCAGCGGGGAGGCGUUACCCGCAGAAGAAGCACCGGCUAACUCCGUGCCAGCAGCCGCGGUAAUAC
rnacentral:rRNA from 1 species